CCUACGGGUGGCUGCAGUGAGGAAUAUUGGUCAAUGGGCGCGAGCCUGAACCAGCCAAGUAGCGUGAAGGAUGACUGCCCUACGGGUUGUAAACUUCUUUUAUAUGGGAAUAAAGUGAGGAACGUGUUCCUUUUUGUAUGUACCAUAUGCAUAAGCAUCGGCUAACUCCGUGCCAGCAGCCGCGGUAAUACGGAGGAUGCGAGCGUUAUCCGGAUUUAUUGGGUUUAAAGGGUGCGUAGGUGGUUAAUUAAGUCAGCGGUGAAAGUUUGUGGCUCAACCAUGAAAUUGCCGUUGAAACUGGUUGACUUGGGUAUAUUUGAGGUAGGCGGAAUGCGUGGUGUAGCGGUGAAAUGCAUAGAUAUCACGCAGAACUCCGAUUGCGAAGGCAGCUUACUAAACUAUAACUGACACUGAAGCACGAAAGCGUGGGGAUCAAACAGGAUUAGAUACCCUUGUAGUC
rnacentral:rRNA from 1 species